CCCCACCCAGAUCUCAUCUCAGAUUGUAAUUUUCACAUGUUAAGGAAGGGACCUGGUGGGAGGUGACUGGUUCAUGGGGGUGUUUUCCCCUAUGCUAUUCUCAUGAUAGUGAGGGAGUUCUCAUGAGAACUGAAGGUGUAAAAGUAGCAGUUUCCCCUGUGCUCUCUCUCUUACCUGCUGCCUUGUGAAGAAAAUGCUUGCUUCCUCUAUGAUUUCUGCCACGAUUAGAUGAAAACCAUGAAGCUAAGAACAGCAAAGCAAAUUUCCCUGAAUUGUGUGACUGUUGGUAGAACAGGGUUCACGCGUUUCACUCCACACAGUUUUGAUGCAUUCUGCCUUGCGCCAAAAGGGUAUCCAGCAGAGUGGAAGCAGCUGCUUCACCCGGGAUGGAGGAGGAUGUUCAACCAGCUCUCAGAGGUCAUGCCUGAACUCUAAGGACAUGGCUUUAUCCUUCUCAGGAUGUAUUCUUCGCCUGCUACAUCUUGAACACAGCAACCACGAGCAGUCUUCAUCCCAUGACCGCUGCCCCCGCCUUGUUUCCACAGACCCAAGCUCCUGCAGUGCUCGAGUCACAUGAUCAAGCGCUCAUUUCUGUUUGUGAAGUUUCUCAGCCAAAAGGAAAACCAUUAGGUAUCAAAUUGCAAGUAGAAAGCAUCCAAGAAGCUGCCUAUUCCAGCACCAGUUCCUGCCAAAGAACCUUAAAUAAACUUGGUGAAGGGAAGAUGUCUGAAAUUACUCUAUACUCAGUAUAUUUAGUUAGAUUAAUAAUAGAACUUGAUUUCAUCUAACUAAUUAAUUUGAGUUCUAAAAGCAGACACAAAUAAUAGGCUUGUUUUUUUUCAUUUUUUUUUCAUUUUGAUUCCCUUUGGGGAUUUUUUUUAGGGGGGGUGGUGUAAAAUGUUAGUCAAUGUACUACUAAGGAUAAAAGAAAAACUAUCUAUCUAAAGAGUGAAGUAGCUCUUUAUAUUUUUAACCAAAGGUGAGAGGUAAAGUCAAGCAAUUUCUCUAACAAUCAAUUGUUAUAUACAGCAGUAACAUGGAUAGAAAAGGAUACUCAAACAGGAAAAAAAAAUCAAUACAACUUAAAAAACAUAAUUAAACACGUAAAAUGUUUGCCUUUAUUUUUGAAAAUUAUCUUAUUUCAAUACAAUAUUUUCUGAAGGAAAGUGAACAGUUAUGUCCCCAUUUAAAAAAAAUAAGUCUAAUAAGGUAGACACUCCUUAUGUUCUACAUGACAAUGAAUUUCAUGACACCUGACUGACUUCUCAUUGCAAGGCACAUUAAUAUAAAUGACUCUCACUAAGCAACAAAGGCUGGAGGAAGAAGUUCCUCUGCCCUGAGAGCUCCCUGUGAGAGAGAAGAAGAUGAGCAGGAGUCAGGCACGUCCUUGUUCCUAGCACUUGAAAUGGGAGAGGACUGGCCAGAAAUCAGAAGAAAACAAGAUCUGAUGUUUUACCUUUGAGUAAAAUUUAUUUU
rnacentral:lncRNA from 10 species